AUUGAACGCUGGCGGCAUGCUUUACACAUGCAAGUCGAACGGUAACAGGCCGCAAGGUGCUGACGAGUGGCGAACGGGUGAGUAAUGCAUCGGAACGUGCCCAGUCGUGGGGGAUAACUACUCGAAAGAGUUGCUAAUACCGCAUACGAUCUAUGGAUGAAAGCGGGGGACCGUAAGGCCUCGCGCGAUUGGAGCGGCCGAUGUCAGAUUAGGUAGUUGGUGGGGUAAAGGCUCACCAAGCCAACGAUCUGUAGCUGGUCUGAGAGGACGACCAGCCACACUGGGACUGAGACACGGCCCAGACUCCUACGGGAGGCAGCAGUGGGGAAUUUUGGACAAUGGGCGCAAGCCUGAUCCGGCAAUGCCGCGUGCAGGAAGAAGGCCUUCGGGUUGUAAACUGCUUUUGUACGGAACGAAACGGCUCUGGUUAAUACCCGGGGCUAAUGACGGUACCGUAAGAAUAAGCACCGGCUAACUACGUG
rnacentral:rRNA from 1 species